AAAGCGUGGGUAGCAAACAGGAUUAGAUACCCUGGUAGUCCACGCCCUAAACGAUGUCAACUAGGUGUUGGGUGGGUAAAACCAUUUAGUACCGUAGCUAACGCGUGAAGUUGACCGCCUGGGGAGUACGGCCGCAAGGUUAAAACUCAAAGGAAUUGACGGGGACCCGCACAAGCGGUGGAUGAUGUGGAUUAAUUCGAUGCAACGCGAAAAACCUUACCUACCCUUGACAUGUUCAGAAUCCCGGAGAGAUUUGGGAGUGCCCGAAAGGGAGCUGGAACACAGGUGCUGCAUGGCUGUCGUCAGCUCGUGUCGUGAGAUGUUGGGUUAAGUCCCGCAACGAGCGCGACCCUUGUCGUUAAUUGCCAUCAUUUAGUUGGGCACUUUAACGAGACUGCCGGUGACAAACCGGAGGAAGGUGGGGAUGACGUCAAGUCCUCAUGGCCCUUAUGGGUAGGGCUUCACACGUCAUACAAUGGUCGGUACAGAGGGUUGCCAAGCCGCGAGGUGGAGCCAAUCCCAGAAAGCCGAUCGUAGUCCGGAUUGCAGGCUGCAACUCGCCUGCAUGAAGUCGGAAUCGCUAGUAAUCGCGGAUCAGCAUGUCGCGGUGAAUACGUUCCCGGGUCUUGUACACACCGCCCGUCACACCAUGGGAGCGGGUUCCGCCAGAAGUAGUAGCCUAACCGCAAGGAGGGCGCUACCACGGCGGGUC
rnacentral:rRNA from 1 species